rnacentral:ncRNA from 1 species
AAGUGAUAAAGGCAAACUUGCUGAAAGGUAAGGACGCAAAGCCACAGGUCUAAGGCGAACGGUUCGCUACGACGGCUGGGUUGCCACC